UUGGCUUAUUAUUUUAAUAUGUGCUGUUUUAGCUGUGUUUCUUUUGUAUCUGUAAUUGAGUUUGUGCACACGCUUAGAUAAGUCUUAGGUUUGGAACUUUGUAACUGAGUUUAGUAGUGUGUUUUGACGAUAAUAUUUUUUGAAGUGAGUUACAUCUUCAAUAUUUUAAAUAGAUAUUAAAAUGGUGAUAAUCAAUUUGAAUUUUUUUGUGUGGAAACUGAGCUAUGGGUUUGAAUUUGUUUAGUGGAAACUGAGAGAGGUGGAGUUAUCAACUUGCUUUCAUUACACAACAUUCCUGAUAAUCUUAGCGAAAUUGGUGUGGAGUACGUUGAGGUAGGGAUUUAGCAUUUUGAUAUCUGGCUUAUUUGGUAAUACAACUACAAGACGAGGAAAGUCAGGCUUACAUCAGUGAAACUUGAUGUUUAAAGUAAUGUGCAACUCACACCAACAUCUGUACUCAAGGAAAACAAAAGGGCAUAUUCAGGGACUGCUACAAAGCAACAAAGGAAGAAGAUACAAAAAACACU